GUAUAAAUUACGAGUCUUUUCCCAAACUAAAUAACAUGUCUGGAAUGGACGGAACAAGGGCAUCAACCUGGAAUCAAUAGAUCGCUACAGGAUACUACAUAACUGAGCAUCGACCUUCUCCCACAGUGUUUUGGCCUUUUCAUCACCUUCGCUAGCCUUUUUUGUUAAAUGAUCGUAAACUUCUAGACCUUUACACCACAACUCGACAGAUGAAGCCCGAUCUAAGUAGUUUGAACCUCCCAUUAAAGAUUCUGAGGUAAUCAUAACACCGGAACUGCCAGAACCCGGGUUUCUAGACCCGUACAACUCGACAGAUGAAGCCCAAGCUAAGUAGUUUGAACCUCCUAUUAAAGAUUCUGAGGUAAUCAUAACACCGGAACUGCC
rnacentral:lncRNA from 1 species